GCGCAGCGAAAGCGAGUCUGAAUAGGGCGUAUAGUAUUUGGUCGUAGACCCGAAACCAGGUGAUCUACCCAUGUCCAGGGUGAAGGUAAGGUAACACUUACUGGAGGCCCGAACCCACGCACGUUGAAAAGUGCGGGGAUGAGGUGUGGGUAGCGGAGAAAUUCCAAUCGAACUUGGAGAUAGCUGGUUCUCUCCGAAAUAGCUUUAGGGCUAGCCUCAAGUGAUGAUUAUUGGAGGUAGAGCACUGUUUGGACGAGGGG
rnacentral:rRNA from 13 species